rnacentral:lncRNA from 1 species
ACAGAUUGCUAGUGCUUUUAUGUGCUGAGCCUUUCCCUUCAACCUGGACUGAAAGAGGAUGGCAAUCUCGCUGAAGCUGUUUCUUUUUCUUCACAACAUAUAGGAAAGUGUUGCCCCUUUUUGGAGGGGCCAUAAAGAAAAUUGAUGAGGACAACUGGCCUCCCAGUAUGUGGAUUCAGUUUCCAUAUGUCAAUUUACCAACUCCCACUGGUAGUCUGAAGAGAUAUGGCUACUGGAGAACAGAAAAUCACCAGUAUUAAUAAAAGCAAUUUUAAGUGUUUACCUUUUAGUAUUUGAAUAGCUUUGUUAAAGAGACGUACUCAAGAAUACUAUGAAGAGACUCUUAUUGUACUCCUUACCUGGAGAUAAUUGUGAUGCCAGAAAUUCAAAUUUAUAUUCAACA